rnacentral:rRNA from 1 species
UACGAAGGGGGCUAGCGUUGCUCGGAAUCACUGGGCGUAAAGCGCACGUAGGCGGAUUGUUAAGUCAGGGGUGAAAUCCUGGAGCUCAACUCCAGAACUGCCUUUGAUACUGGCGAUCUCGAGUCCGGGAGAGGUGAGUGGAACUGCGAGUGUAGAGGUGAAAUUCGUAGAUAUUCGCAAGAACACCAGUGGCGAAGGCGGCUCACUGGCCCGGUACUCGACGCUGAGGUGCGAAAGCGUGGGGAGCAAAGCAGG